GUGUUUUAGUGCGGAUCGAAUAGAUAGCAGUAUUCUCUGACACACGGGAAAAGGCGGAGGGUGAAGCUCUUCAGAUACAUGCAACAGACCACAUACAAACAUGAUUACAACCCGGCGGGAGGGAUCUCACCGAGGAACAGACAGACCAAUUACCCUUACGGAGCCGACGCCCCCAAGGCGGACAUUCCCGGUCCUUACAACAACUUCCGGCCCAGAUAUGGCGACCCCCUCCCCCAGCAUAUCAGAGAUUUGGACGGACAAAGAUUUGAUGACCAGCCUCUCACCGACAGGCAAAGAAUAAAACGGGGAGAGGAAUGGAUUGGAGGGAGACGAUAUGACGAGCCUAUGACGGACCGAGGGCAGUAUUACGAGAGGGAGCGAGGCCGGGAUCUGUCGCCUUACCGGUAUCAAGACAGAGGGAGAAACGGGUCACCCGAAAGGUAUUACGACCGUGGGAGAGACAAUGGUAGGGGCCGGGACUUUGACAGGAGGAGAGACGAGUCCCCAGGCAAGUACGAUAGGCCAGCACAACCAAUGAUUGACAGCUACGCUGACCAUCGGAAAAUGACCGACAGAACGACAUACAAGGAUUAUGGAGAGUUUCUGCAAGAAAAGAUAAAAUUGGAUGAACUUAAAAAGCAACCCGUAGAAUACCCGGCCGCUAAUCUUGGACCGAACUACGAACAGGAGAAAUAUUUCGGUUCCAGCGAGCGCCAGGUUUGAAGGUUGCCGUGAGGGUGGGGGUCAUUUUUGUCAAACAAUCAUCUGAAAAGUCUGCCUUAAGUUGCACCAGCCUAUUUGAUUGAACUUCACGUUUUGUCCUCAAUCUAUUUUUGAAACUCUAAUUUAUAUAAGUCCCCCUUCGUAUGCAAUCCUUUUCUGAUGGUAGAGCAAUUUACGACAUGGCAUCGUAUAUAAAUUUAAAAAGGGACCUGGGUCACUUUCUCCAUUAAAAGAAAUUUAAAAUUAAUUCAGUACAGAGCUACGUGUAUAAAAUUCUAUAGGGUUGUCAUUAUCCUGAUUAUUUAUCAGUUACAUGUAGCAACAAUCAGACGACCAGGAAUUUUUGAUUUAUGUAUAAUGACAGAUUAUUGAGGGUCGCUUGUGAUUGUUGUUGGGAACAUUCAUAUCUGAAUCAAAGAGAAAUACAAAGGAAGUUCGACCUCGGACAGUGCCGUCAGGUCAAGCGUUAUAUGAUGAAGAGCCCAAGUCCACCAACAGUGGAGUCUACCUCUUCAUCAGAACCAACAAACUCGCCAAGGCUGACGUCGUCAAGGCUCUACAGGAGGGGCGCUCAGUGCUGGCCAACUCAUACGGGCAACUCAAGGGCAUCGCUACCAACAGGGAGAUUCAGUUGCUGGAGGGACAAGAAGGGUGGAACAUCCGGGCGAAUAUGACGCGCACUGGGGACUAUUGGUUGGAGCGUUCCCAGGAUUCAACAGUCAUCGACGACAUGAUCCUGGUCAUCUGGUUCCCGACCUUUAACGACGCCGAGAAGUGGGUCAUCAGCGAGAGGAAGUUUAAGACUCCCAGCUUUCCCGAACCUUACGGAAGUGACGUUAUGAUUCUUCCUUUAAACGAUAGCCAGCCACAAGAGCGGAUCGCCUACACCUACAUUACCACGGAAUACCCCCGCCAGCUGGAUCCAGUCAUGUUUCGAGAAAACUUCGUUCCUAAGAUCAAAGAAGUGCUCUACAAGCAUGGCAACGACGGGUUCUUCAUUCAGUCGGUCGGAGCAAAGGUUAUCCGGGGUCACUGGGUCAAACCCAGCAGCCUCAUUACCACCAUCAGAUUCAACACCAGACAAGACGCUCUUAACUUUUUCCUAGACCCGGAAUACAAACAAAUCCGUCAGGAAAUAAGCAGACGCAUCGAACAACUUCCGGUUUACAUGAACUGGUUUAAACCGGUCAGCUUUAUGUUUACCCUGGACAAAUAUGUGUAACAUGAAGACCCGACAACGAAGCAAUUCCUACAUGUAUACAGGAGUAUAUUAUUCGAAAAGCAAUGAUCCGUUAUCAAACUAUACCAAUUCUUGAUAUAUUCCCCAAAAUGCAAUGCACUUCCUAUGUAGAGUAGUAAACUUAGUAUUGCAGAUAGUGUACAAUGAAGCACAGUCUAUAGUCAGAGAAAGGUAGUUUGUACUGAACCAGUACAUCUCAUGUGAUAACAAUAGCCAUAGUAAUCUGUUGUUGAAUGGACAUUAAAAUCCUUCGUUGUUUUUUCUGUUGUUUUCAUACCUUAAGUGAUGUUUUUACAUUCGUUAUAAGAACUUUACACAGACUUCUAUUUUGUAACCAUUGUUUAUUAAAUUGUUUCAUAU
rnacentral:misc_RNA from 1 species